GCUUGUCUCAAAGAUUAAGCCAUGCAUGUCUUAGUGUAAAUAACUCUUAUGAAACUGCGAAUGGCUCAUUAAAUCAGUUAUAGUUUAUUUGAUGGUACUUACUUACUCGGAUAACCGUAGUAAUUCUAGAGCUAAUACGUGCGUAAAUCCCGACUUCUGGAAGGGGUGUAUUUAUUAGAUGGAAACCAAUGCAGGGCAACCUGGAAUAUGGUGAUUCAUAAUAACUCGCGGAUCGGUUUACCGAUGCAUCAUUCAAGUUUCUGCCCUAUCAGCUUUGGAUGGUAGGGUAUUGGCCUACCAUGGCUUUAACGGGUAACGGAGAAUUAGGGUUCGAUUCCGGAGAGGGAGCCUGAGAAAUGGCUACCACAUCCAAGGAAGGCAGCAGG
rnacentral:rRNA from 1 species